rnacentral:lncRNA from 1 species
AUGAUUCCUGCCCCCCACACACAUCCUGGGAACGGGCUCCUCUUCGGUGGCCAAGUGCACAAGGCCGGAUCCCCCAGCAGGAGCAAGGCGGAUGCAUUUCACAAGGGCCUUGUCUCAGAACUCAGGGCCUCUUCAACAUCCACACACACACACACAUGCACACACAUGCACGCACAGGCACACAUAUGCACACACGCACACAUGCACACACGCACAUACAUGUACACAUAUGUAUACACACGUGCAGACCUGCACACACAUGCACACACAUACGUGCACACAGGCACACACAUGCAUGCACAGGCACACACAUGCACAUACACACAUGCGCACAGACAUACACACAUGCACACACGCACACACAUACACGCACGCACAUGCACACACAUGCACGCACACGUAUGCACACAUAUGCACACAUACACAUGCGCACAGACAUACACAUACAUACAUGCACACAUGCACACACACGCAAACAGGCAGACAUGCACACGCACACAUAUGCAUACAUGCACACGUGCACACAUACACAUACAUACACGCAUGCGUGCACGCACACACAUACACACACGCACACACAUACAUGCACACGCACACAUGCACGUACAUGCACGCACACGCACACAUACACACAUGCACACAGACAUACACAUACAUACACACAUGCACACAUGCACACACAUACGCACACACAUGCAUGCACACGUGCACAUACACACAUGCACACAGACAUACACAGACAUACACACAUGCACACACGCACACACAUACACACACGCACACACUGCUGCAGAUGUGAAACGUCUGUUCCAGACAUUUCACGCAGCCUGGGCACGCUCAAGUUCAAAUACAGAGAUCAUGGAAGUGACCCACACUAGCAUGAGGUCUCUAGCGUGGGGGGGGAACCACAGCUCAGUGACUCCCUGCACCCCUCAUAGGAAAACACAGAGAACUGCCAAGGGUUCGACACUUGACAACCAGGGCUCCCACGAAUUAAUUACCCUCUUAGCCUCUAUCUUUAUUUAUUGA